CCUACGUGCGGCAGCAGUCGAGAAUCAUUCACAAUGGGGGAAACCCUGAUGGUGCGACGCCGCGUGGGGGAAUGAAGGUCUUCGGAUUGUAAACCCCUGUCAUGUGGGAGCAAAUUAAAAAGAUAGUACCACAAGAGGAAGAGACUGCUAACUCUGUGCCAGCAGCCGCGGUAAUACAGAGGUCUCAAGCGUUGUUCGGAAUCACUGGGCGUAAAGCGUGCGUAGGCUGUUUCGUACGUCGUGUGUGAAAGGUGCGGGCUCAACCCGCGGACGGCACAUGAUACUGCGAGACUAGAGUAAUGUAGGGGGAACCGGAAUUCUCGGUGUAGCAGUGAAAUGCGUAGAGAUCGAGAGGAACACUCGUGGCGAAGGCGGGUUCCUGGACAUUAACUGACGCUGAGGCACGAAGGCCAGGGGAGCGAAAGGGAUUAGAUACCCCUGUAGUC
rnacentral:rRNA from 1 species